UACGUAUGGAGCAAGCGUUAUCCGGAUUUACUGGGUGUAAAGGGAGCGCAGGCGGCUUUGCAAGUCUGAUGUGAAAGGCCGGGGCUCAACCCCGGGACUGCAUUGGAAACUGUAAAGCUAGAGUGCCGGAGAGGUAAGCGGAAUUCCUAGUGUAGCGGUGAAAUGCGUAGAUAUUAGGAGGAACACCAGUGGCGAAGGCGGCUUACUGGACGGCAACUGACGCUGAGGCUCGAAAGCGUGGGGGGCAAACAGG
rnacentral:rRNA from 1 species